GGCUGAAACUCGCCUACAUGAAGCUGGAGUUACUGUAAUCGCAGAUCAGAAUGCUGCGGUGAAUGCGUUCCCGGGUCUUGUACACACCGCCCGUCACACCACGGAAGUUGGGGGCGCCCGAAGCCACUUAGCUAACCCUUUGGGAAGCGAGUGUCGAAGGUGAAAUCAAUAACUGGGGUGAAGUCGUAACAAGGUAAC
rnacentral:rRNA from 1 species